rnacentral:rRNA from 1 species
UACGGAGGAUGCGAGCGUUAUCCGGAUUUAUUGGGUUUAAAGGGUGCGUAGGCGGACUGUCAAGUCAGCGGUAAAAUACGGGGGCUCAACCUCCGCCCGCCGUUGAAACUGACGGUCUUGAGUGGGCGAGAAGUAUGCGGAAUGCGUGGUGUAGCGGUGAAAUGCAUAGAUAUCACGCAGAACUCCGAUUGCGAAGGCAGCAUACCGGCGCCCAACUGACGCUGAAGCACGAAAGCGUGGGGAGCAAACAGG